rnacentral:rRNA from 1 species
UGGGGAAUUUUGGACAAUGGGGGAAACCCUGAUCCAGCCAUCCCGCGUGUGCGAUGAAGGCCUUCGGGUUGUAAAGCACUUUUGGCAGGAAAGAAACGUCAUGGGUUAAUACCCCGUGAAACUGACGGUACCUGCAGAAUAAGCACCGGCUAACUACGUGCCAGCAGCCGCGGUAAUACGUAGGGUGCAAGCGUUAAUCGGAAUUACUGGGCGUAAAGCGUGCGCAGGCGGUUCGGAAAGAAAGAUGUGAAAUCCCAGAGCUCAACGUUGGAACUGCAUUUUUAACUGCCGGGCUAGAGUGUGUCAGAGGGAGGUGGAAUUCCGCGUGUAGCAGUGAAAUGCGUAGAUGUGCGGAGGAACACCGAUGGCGAAGGCAGCCUCCUGGGAUAACACUGACGCUCAUGCACGAAAGCGUGGGGAGCAAACAGG